ACCUCAUUGUGUGGCGGGUCUCCCUCCGGUUUCCCCCCCUCUCAUCGGCCCACUCAGCAGCUCUGCUUGGACAGUGUGGCUGCUUCGAAGCAAAAUGGGUUGUGGCAAUUCCUCAGCCACCAGCACCUCAGGAGGAGGUCCUGCAGAAGCUUCCAAAGAUGUGACAGAAGAUCCCUCGGCAGAAGAUGAGAAAAGAAGGUAAAUUGUUCACGCUUUUAGUCGUUUUGUCUACUUUUGGUGCCCUUGAAUUGCUUUUUUAAUAAAAUUAUUUUUUGUGUUUUGGUUUUUUUCAUGCAGUUUGUCGUGUGGUUUUGUUUCUUUGAAUGUGAAACCUUUUUAGU